rnacentral:ncRNA from 1 species
NNAUCAGCUAAGGUCCCCAAAUGUAUGCUAAGUUGAAAAAACGCGGUUUGAUUGCCCAGACAGCUAGGAUGUUGGCUUGGAAGCAGCCAUUCAUUUAAAGAGUGCGUAACAGCUCACUAGUCGAGCGAUCGAGCAUGGAUAAUAAUCGGGCAUAAGUAUACUACCGAAGCUAUGGAUUUACGUUUUAGACGUGAGU